AUGCUAUCACGCCACCCGUCCACCGGGCCCCGCCGCACCCCGUCGUCACCAGAUCUGGCCUCCCCACCCCCGCGGCCGCCGGAUCCGCUGCCCCACACCUCGAAAUCGCCGAAAUUGAAGCCGGCCCGGCGCCGCCGUGCCGCCCCUCUAUUUGAAGCAUUCCCGUCCCCACCGGCGCACGCACAGCCUACACCUUUAUCUUCCGGUCAUCUCCCUACGACUCCGCUGCUUCCCCGCAGCCGGACGCCUCGUUUUGGCCGAAUCGAAGCCGCUGGGCCGUCGUCGCUCUAUUUGGAGAAUGUGCGUCGCCGCCGCCUAGCCACACAGCCUCUGUGA
rnacentral:rRNA from 1 species